AUGGUACUCCCUCCGUCCGAAAAUACUUGUCCUAAAAAUGCAUAUAAUGAAUGUAUCUAUAAUUAAAAUAAGUCUAGAUACAUUCAUCUCUAGGACAAGUAUUUCCGGACGGAUGUAGUACUAG
rfam:Hordeum vulgare subsp. vulgare, WGS project CAJW01000000 data, contig: morex_contig_37170